GACGAACGCUGGCGGCGUGCUUAACACAUGCAAGUCGAACGGAAAGGCCCUGCUUUUGUGGGGUGCUCGAGUGGCGAACGGGUGAGUAACACGUGAGUAACCUGCCCUUGACUUUGGGAUAACUUCAGGAAACUGGGGCUAAUACCGGAUAGGAGCUCCUGCUGCAUGGUGGGGGUUGGAAAGUUUCGGCGGUUGGGGAUAGACUCGCGGCUUAUCAGCUUGUUGGUGAGGUAGUGGUUUUCCAAGGCUUUGACGGGUAGGCGGCCUGAGAGGGUGGCCGGGCACCAUGGGACUGCGGGACGGACCAGUAGGCUACGGGAGGCAACGGGGGGGAAUAUUGCACAAUGGGCGGAAGCCUGAUGCAGCAACGCCGCGUGCGGGAUGACGGCCUUCGGGUUGUAAACCGCUUUCGCCUGUGACGAAGCGUGAGUGACGGUAAUGGGUAAAGAAGCACCGGCUAACUACGUG
rnacentral:rRNA from 1 species